UCACCACACGGUACUGUUUUGGGUUUCGGUCAUUCCAUGUUUAUUGCUUUUGUAUUCAGUUGUUCAUGUGUACUAUUUCGUAUUAAAAGAACCAUGGACACUUACCACGCCGCAUAUUGGUCCUCCGAUCCUUUUUGUCUCUCCUCUUCGGGAGAAGAGGAGGAAAUCCCUUACAGAUAUGAAAGCCUGUCUAUAUGAAGAGGUCCCAAUGAAGAGCAGUGGUUCUCAGUCCUGGUCCUGGGGGCUCAAAGGGGUGUACAUUUUUGGUUUUUGUCUUAGCACUGCACAGCUGAUUCAAAUGAUCAACUCAUCCUCAAGCUUCAAGUGAUACCUUGUAACUGGAGAUUCAUUCAAAGCGAUUACCUACAGUUAACGUGUAGGGCACGGCACGGUUGGGUGACCAGGGCCAUCUGGGACUGAGGAAUUCGGGUGUGUGAAGGCUACCUGUGUCCUGCAUAACUUCAUAAGGAUGGACAUGAGGACCAGGAGGGGAUAUGCAGCUGCCGUGUGCCAGAGGAGAGGUCUGCUGCUCUGCAGGAUGUUUCAAGGAUGGGGUACAACAACACAGCAAGAGAGGCAAUCCGUGUGCGGGAAAUCUUCACCUCCUACUCCUUCGAAGAUGUAAACAGGCUCAGGUGUAUAACUGUGGCUCCUUCAACCUUCAAAGAAUAGGCAAGAGGGCCAACCAUGGAGAAUAGUUACAUCAGCUGUGUCGGUGAAACCCUCCCACAUUUGAACUGGCUACAUAGAUGGCACAGCAUGAUCAGAGAUGUUUUUAUUUGAGAGGAUGCCAACCCCGUCCCAUCAUCGCCACCUCAACUUUCGUGCCGACUAGACACUUAUGUAAUUGUUAUGAACUGGGAGAAUAUUUGGAUAGCACUAAUCAUUAAUCAUAUGCUGCCUUCCCUGCUCCUAUGUUCUUACCUCUUUCCCUGUCUUUUACACCUCU